GAAAUAUAUUUUCAUGUUUCUAUUUAUAUACACAACAAAUGCGUAUAUUAAAAGCCUAUUUUUUUUUUUGAUCUAUUGAUUUAGAUGGAAAAUUAUUUAGGCAACGGCCAGACAACCGUAGAGAUGGUUUCCACAGAUGAACAGUUUUUUACCCAUCUGUUUGUCUACUAUUAUCCAUCUCACAUUUUUAUAUUUAUAUAUAUUUAUAAUAAUAAUCCUUUGAGACAAAUGUCAUUAUUAAACUGAUUAUAUAUAUCUUUGUAACAGCAGUACCUUUAAUCAUCCAAUAUAUUUAGGAUUUAUAAUUCUAAAUUUCAAGUCAUUAACGGUUGAUUUGUUGCAGAAAAUAUUUAAAUAUACUGUUUUAUCAUCCAGAUUUGCUUGCAGGGUUUUUGACGAUUAUGAGUGCGAGGUACAUUUGAGUCAAAAGACUUGGCGUACGUCAGCACUAAGAGGAAUGAUGAGAGGUUGUGACAUAAAGAAAUUGCGAAACAGAGCACAUGGUGUAUGUAGGGCCUGUGAAUUUGGUUAUUAAUGAACAAAUAUAGUUAUCCGAAUGUUGUAUAGGAUAGAAAAGGUGGGUUACAUUGUGCUUAUACACCGUCUUGAGUAGCGUCCCAAGUUGCCAAGACGCGGAUGGUGUAUAAGCCGUGAUCGUCCUUGUGGCUGCGUCCUUCUACUUGUUCUUCGCCAAGAAGUUUGAGGACAUCCAAGGUGGGACCAAAGUCCUUCGAUGGAAAGACCUCAUAUGCUGCAUCUCUAUCUACAAUUACAACUCUAGUGCUGACAUAUAAGAACUCAGACCAGCUCGUUCAGUUCCUUACAACUACGCCGGUGCUGGAAUCCUUCCAUCUGGUGUUUUAUGAGGAGUUGAAGUUUGACAAAAAUCUGGUAGAGGCACUAAAUCAUUCUGAAACAUUGACUAAGCUGAGUACCUGUUUGAAGAGUGUGACUUUCUUUGACUUUGAUGAAGACAAGAACAAGACGGUGGCAGGAUUUUUUUUGGCAAAUGGAAGUUCGCUGCAUAAGAUGGUAUUCUACCACAAGAAGUCAGGUGAAUCCGUUAGUAAAGUUUGGAACUUUGCCAAGGCUUCUGCAUCAGUCAGGCUAAUAGAUAUUUUUCCUUGAAGGCUGAAGCCAUUCAGUAUUGUGUCAUUGCCUUAUAUACCAUAGUACAGUAUAAUGUUUGGUCGGUGACUUCAUUAGUAAAGUUUGGAAUUUCACCAAGGCUUGUUCAUCACUGAAGAUCAUGGAUGUUUUUCCUUGUAGGCUGAAGAUAUUCAGUAAUGUGUCGUUAACUCAUUGCCUUAGAUACCAUAGUACAGUAUAAUGUUUGUUUUGGUGAAAAGUUUCUUUGUCAGAUUGCUCUUGAUUCAUUUUUUGAGAACUUCAUGUGUUAGUUGUUUGUCAAGGUGUAGUUCAAUUGUAACCACACUUUCAUAAAUCUGAUUCCUGUCUGUGUUACCUAAGGAAUCAUUGGUUGUUAAAUGCUUUCUAUGAAUAGAUACGGUAAAAAUCAACUCUUUUCUUGUUACUUCUAUAUUUUUUUUGUUUUUAUUGCA